rnacentral:rRNA from 1 species
UACGUAGGGGGCGAGCGUUGUCCGGAUUUAUUGGGCGUAAAGGGUUCGCAGGUGGCCUUUUAAGUCAGAUGUGAAAGAUCACAGCUCAACUGUGGUAAGCAUUUGAAACUGAAAGGCUUGAGUUAAGGAGAGGAAAGUGGAAUUCCUAGUGUAGCGGUGAAAUGCGUAGAUAUUAGGAGGAAUACCAGUGGCGAAGGCGACUUUCUGGACUUAUACUGACACUGAGGAACGAAAGCGUGGGGAGGCAAACAGGAUUAGAUACCCUGGUAGUCCCUGA